rnacentral:rRNA from 1 species
CCCUGCCAUUUGUACACACCGCCCGUCGCUACUACCGAUUGAAUGGCUUAGUGAGCUGUGGGGACCGUUGCCUGGUUGGGGUUUCCCUUCCAGAUUAAUGGGAACCACAUCAAACUUGAUCAUUUAGAGGAAGU